UGUGCGUACGACCGGAAACCCCAAAUUGGGUUUGCAUCUCUCUGGCCGAGCGAGGUGCCUUCCCCAGCCUCACCUCCAGAUGUUCCAUGGGGGUUUGAGGUGUGGAGGAGGAGUGAACAGAGCUUGGUGUCUCUCUGAUUGAGUAUGGACAUGGGCAGAAGAACCGUGGAUGGAGGGAGGCCAACAUACUCCGAUCUCAGCUGUCAUUUUGAAUUUGAACUCCUCUGUGCCAGAAAUCGGAUUUAUUGCUGGUGAGAAUGGUGACUCAUGCUCUUUUGACGCCAACCAACUAAUUUAUCCUGCUGUGGUUUGGCCAGAUGGACAGGGCACCCACCAUAACCAUCCAAGAGGUGAAGAUGAAUUCAGAGAUGGAGAGAUUGAGGGCCAAAAAGAGAAAGUGACUUGCAGAAGGUCGCAGAGGGGUUAGAACCCAGAACUUCUGAAUCGCAGUCCAGGAUUCUAACAAUAGAACAAAAGAUUAACACUAGCCCACAACCACAGUGCUCACAUAAAGUGUAAUGACAUGAUACAAUAAUAUCUGACUUGAAUGGUUGCUAUGGGGGUAAAUGAGAUAACAAAUGUGAAAUAUUCAUGUAAAAUCUUAGAGUACUACCUAGAUGGUUGAUAAAGAGUGCAGAACAUCUAUACAAGUCAAUGGAGAAAUGAGGAUUAUUUUCUUCCUGCAAAUAAAACAGAAGUAGUCCCAAGGUCA